rnacentral:rRNA from 1 species
CCUACGGGAGGCAGCAGUGGGGAAUUUUGGACAAUGGGCGAAAGCCUGAUCCAGCAAUGCCGCGUGCAGGACGAAGGCCUUCGGGUUGUAAACUGCUUUUGUACGGAACGAAACGGUCUCCUCUAAUACGGGGGGCUAAUGACGGUACCGUAAGAAUAAGCACCGGCUAACUACGUGCCAGCAGCCGCGGUAAUACGUAGGGUGCGAGCGUUAAUCGGAAUUACUGGGCGUAAAGCGUGCGCAGGCGGUUAUAUAAGACAGAUGUGAAAUCCCCGGGCUCAACCUGGGACCUGCAUUUGUGACUGUAUAGCUGGAGUACGGUAGAGGGGGAUGGAAUUCCGCGUGUAGCAGUGAAAUGCGUAGAUAUGCGGAGGAACACCGAUGGCGAAGGCAAUCCCCUGGACCUGUACUGACGCUCAUGCACGAAAGCGUGGGGAGCAAACAGGAUUAGAUACCCUGGUAGUCCACGCCCUAAACGAUGUCAACUGGUUGUUGGGUCUUCACUGACUCAGUAACGAAGCUAACGCGUGAAGUUGACCGCCUGGGGAGUACGGCCGCAAGGUUGAAACGUCAAAUUGUAGUUAGAGCGNGAGAGNGCGAGGACGACGACGAGGGAGGAGG